rnacentral:lncRNA from 1 species
CUUGGGACAGGCCGCCUUGUUGAGGUCACGGAAAUCGACAUAAAGACAAAUCUGCCCAUUCAUUUUCUUUACCGACACGACCUUUGCUAACCAAUCUGGAUGCUUCUCAGUUCGGAUAAACUUGGCAUGGCAGCCAAUAAUUGUUAAACUUAUGCUUUGAUCUCUAUCUCAAGUUCGAGUCUAAACUUUUUGGCUGCUUGUUUCACUGGAGUCAAGUUCGGUCCCCUAUGGAGUAAGGGGGGUGUGGGUUGUGUCAAUACAUCUG